UACGUAGGUGGCAAGCGUUGUCCGGAUUUAAUGGGCGUAAAGAGCGCGCAGGCGGUCAGAUAAGUCGAAUGUGAAAGCCCCCGGCUCAACUGGGGAGGGUCAUUCGAUACUGUUCGACUCGAAGGCAGGAGAGGGAAGUGGAAUUCCCGGUGUAGUGGUGAAAUGCGUAGAUAUCGGGAGGAACACCAGUGGCGAAGGCGACUUCCUGGCCUGUUCUUGACGCUGAGGCGCGAAAGCUAGGGGAGCAAACGGG
rnacentral:rRNA from 1 species